rnacentral:rRNA from 1 species
GAUCAUGGCUCAGGAUGAACGCUAGCUACAGGCUUAACACAUGCAAGUCGAGGGGUAGCACGGAGGAAGCUUGCUUCCUUGGGUGACGACCGGCGCACGGGUGAGUAACGCGUAUCCGACCUACCCAUAACUCGGGCACAGCCGCUCGAAAGAGAGAUUAAUUCCGAAUAACGUAGUAACGUUGCCUGAUGAUACUACGAAAGCUCUGGCGGAGAGGGAUGGGGAUGCGUUCCAUUAGGUAGUAGGCGGGGUAACGGCCCACCUAGCCAACGAUGGAUAGGGGUUCUGAGAGGAAGGUCCCCCACAUUGGAACUGAGACACGGUCCAAACUCCUACGGGAGGCAGCAGUGAGGAAUAUUGGUCAAUGGACGGAAGUCUGAACCAGCCAAGUAGCGUGAAGGAUUACUGCCCUACGGGUUUUAAACUUCUUUUAUGCGAGAGUAAUGUGCGCUACGUGUAGCGUAUUGCAAGUAUCGCAUGAAUAAGCAUCGGCUAACUCCGUG